UAUCCGGAUUUACUGGGUGUAAAGGGAGCGUAGACGGCACGGCAAGCCAGAUGUGAAAGCCCGGGGCUCAACCCCGGGACUGCAUUUGGAACUGCUGAGCUAGAGUGUCGGAGAGGCAAGUGGAAUUCCUAGUGUAGCGGUGAAAUGCGUAGAUAUUAGGAGGAACACCAGUGGCGAAGGCGGCUUGCUGGACGAUGACUGACGUUGAGGCUCGAAAGCGUGGGGAGCAAACGGAUUAGAUACCCUGGUAGUCCCCGCCGUAAACGAUGACUGCUAGGUGUCGGGUGGC
rnacentral:rRNA from 1 species